AGGACGUGCGUUGAUGGAGCAGGCGGCGGGCUCGGGAGUUCGAAUCCCAGUUCCCCGACUCCCACUGUGGGAUUUGGCCUGAGGGCAGGAGGUGGCUUCUGCUUUCGGAGCCUCAGUUUUUCCAUCCGAGAAACGGGGGAAUCGUUCCCCUGUUCUGGGAUGGAAGAGAGGGUCAAUUAGAAUCCGCUCUCCCUGCAUCCCUCUCUGCCUCCCUCUCUCCCACCGCGUGCCUGGCCCCGCAGUUCCGCGAGCGGGAUGCCCUGGAGGCCGUGUUCCGCUUCUGGACUGGCGGCGAGAAAGGGCCCGAGGCCUUCCCCAUGAGCCGCCUCUGGGACUCGCGGCUGCGCCACUACCUGGGCUCCCGCUACGACGCCCGGCGCGGUGUCAGCGACUGGGACCUGCGCAUGAAGCUGCAUGACCGCGGGGCCCAAGUCAUUCACCCCCAGGAGUUCCGACGCUGGCGGGACACAGGCGUCGCCUUUGAACUCAGGGACUCCAGCGCCUAUCAUGUGCCCAACCGGACCCUGGCGUCCGGUCGCCUCCUGAGCUACCGUGGGGAGCGCGUGGCAGCGCGCGGGUACUGGGGGGACAUCGCCACGGGGCCCUUCGUGGCCUUCGGCAUCGAAGCGGACGACGAGAGCCUCCUGCGGACCAGCAACGGCCAGCCAGUCAAGACGGCCGGGGAGAUCACUCAACACAACGUGACGGAGCUGCUCCGCGAGGUGGCCGCCUGGGGGCGCGCGAGAGCCACCGGGGGGGACCCGGAGGAGCAGCAGCACGCGGAGGGAAGCCCGGAGCCAGGGACUCCAGCAGCCCCCACCCCGGAAUCUUUCACCAUCCACUUCCUGCCGCUCAAUUCUGCUCAGACUCUCCACCACAAGAGCUGCUACAACGGCCGAUUCCAGCUCCUCUAUGUGGCCUGUGGUAUGGUCCAUCUUCUCAUCCCUGAGCUUGGGGCCUGUGUGGCACCCGGAGGGAACUUGAUUGUGGAAUUAGCCCGGUACCUGGUGGACGUGCGGCAGGAGCAGCUGCAGGGAUUCCACACCCGGGUCAGGGAGCUAGCUCAGGCAGCUGGAUUUGCUCCACAGACCGGGGCCAGGCCUUCAGAGACCUUCGCACGUUUCUGCAAGUCCCAGGAAUCAGCUCUAGGCAACACUGUCCCAGCUGUGGAACCCGGAACUCCGCCCCUUGACGUCCUGGCCCAGCCUCUUGAAGCCAGCAGCCCAGCCCUCGAGGGCCUGACCCAGCCUCUGCAGGGCGGGAACCCACACUGUGAGCCCUGCCAGCUGCCCUCUGAGUCUCCAGGUUCACUCUCAGAGGUUCUGGCUCAGCCUCAGGGGGCCUUGGCUCCGCCCAACUGUGAGUCAGACUCCAAAACUGGAGUCUGACCCAACCCCUAGACACCCCUUAUCUCCAACUUCCAAAGUCAGGUUGUAGGAUGAGAACCCGCUGAUACCAUUCUAAGUCCGCUGCUAGAGUCCUCAAUUUUAUUCUAAUCAUUCCCACUCAGUACCCGCCACCCCCACCCCGGGAGUGUUGGUAGACUUUCAAAUUCCAUUUCUGAGAUUCUAUGGUCUAUUCCUAGAAUUCUAGAUUGUUCUCUCAGAAUUCCAAAUUCCACUUCUGAGGCUCUAAGCCCAGCCUAGGAUCUGACACUGAGUCUCAGGCCCUUGACUUUGGCCCCCUUGUUCCCAGGCACCCUGUGGCUGACUGGGGGCUGGGGUGUCUCCUCACCAGGGCCUGGUCAGCACCCAGAUGGUUCAAGUAAAGCAAGUUGUGUCCACCCU
rnacentral:sRNA from 1 species